AUGGCUCAGGACGAACGCUGCGGCGUGCCUAAUACAUGCAAGUCGAACGGCUUUUCUAUGGAAGCUUGCUUCCACUGAGAAGAUAGUGGCGAACGGGUGAGUAACACGUGGGUAACCUGCCCAUAAGAGGGGGAUAACAUCCGGAAACGGGUGCUAAUACCGCAUAGUUUUCUUGAUCGCAUGAUCGGGAAAGGAAAGACGGCCUUUGUGCUGUCGCUUAUGGAUGGACCCGCGGCGUAUUAGUUAGUUGGUGAGGUAACGGCUCACCAAGACGAUGAUACGUAGCCGACCUGAGAGGGUGAUCGGCCACAUUGGGACUGAGACACGGCCCAAACUCCUACGGGAGGCAGCAGUAGGGAAUCUUCCGCAAUGGACGAAAGUCUGACGGAGCAACGCCGCGUGAGUGAAAGAAGGUUUUCGGAUCGUAAAACUCUGUUGUCAGAGAAGAACAAGUUGGAGAGUAACUGCUCCAGCCUUGACGGUAUCUGACCAGAAAGCCACGGCUAACUACGUGCCAGCCGCCGC
rnacentral:rRNA from 1 species